rnacentral:rRNA from 1 species
UAAAAAAAAAAAUGGGGGGGGCCGGGGGGGGUUUUUUCCCUUGGGUGGGGGGGGGGGGGGGGGAAAACCGGGGGGAACGUAUCUAAAAGGUGGCGCGGGCUCCGGGAAACCGGGGUUAAUUUCGGAUAUUUUGUGGACCCCCAGGUUCAAUCAUAAAAGGGGCUUUUAGCUACCCUUCCCGAUGGACCCGGGGGCCUUAGCUAGUUGGUGAGGGGGCGGUUUUUUUUAUCUUUGAUGCGUAGCCGACCGUAGCCGGUGAACCCCCGCAGUGGUUUUAAAAUGUGGCCCAGUUUGGUAAAGGAGGGGGAAGGGGGGAAUCUCCCUUGUUGGGGGAAGGAAAAACGCCGCGAGUCCGCGUGAGUGAUGAAGGUUUUCGGAUCGUAAAACUCUGUUGUUAGGGAAGAACAAGUACCGUUCGAAUAGGGCGGUACCUUGACGGUACCUAACCAGAAAGCCACGGCUAACUACGUGCCAGCAGCCGCGGUAAUACGUAGGUGGCAAGCGUUGUCCGGAAUUAUUGGGCGUAAAGCGCGCGCAGGCGGUUUCUUAAGUCUGAUGUGAAAGCCCCCGGCUCAACCGGGGAGGGUCAUUGGAAACUGGGGAACUUGAGUGCAGAAGAGGAGAGUGGAAUUCCACGUGUAGCGGUGAAAUGCGUAGAGAUUGGGGGGGACCCCGGGGGGGGAGACGGCGGUCUUUUCGAUUAUUACCGCUGGGGGGGGAGAAAGGGUGGGGGGAAAAAAACAAGGUACUUUGGAAUUCCAAUUCCCCCGCCCGGAAAACCGAGGAAUAGGGGGUGGUGGCCUUUUAUUUCCGGAAUUAGCCUUUAAACGCCCCGCCGGGGGGGAGUGGCCGCAAGACUGAAACUCAAAGUAAUCAAUGGGGGCCCGCCAACCCUUGGGAGCAUUUUUUUUCAUUCGAAACAACGCGAAGAACCUUUCCGUCUCUUGGCACCCCUCAGAAAUACUAGAGAGGGGGGUGUCCCCACCGGGACAGGGUGACAGGUGGUGCAUGGUUGUCGUCACCUCGUGUCGUGAGAUGUUGGUUUAAGUCCCGCAACGAGCGCAACCCUUGAUCUUAGUUGCCAGCAUUAAGUUGGGCACUCUAAGGAGACUGCCGGUGACAAACCGGAGGAAGGUGGGGAUGACGUCAAAUCAUCAUGCCCCUUAUGACUUGGGCCGCUCACGUGCUACAAAUGGCGGUACAAAGAUUUACAGCACCGCGGGGGGAAGCCAAUCACAAAAAACUUUCAGGGGAUCGCAGUCAGGCGCACCGCCUCAUGAAGGCGGA